rnacentral:rRNA from 1 species
CACGCUGUAAACGAUGAGAACUAGAUGUUGGGAGGGUUUUGCCUCUCAGUGUCGCAGCUAACGCGCUAAGUUCUCCGCCUGGGGANCAACGCGAAGAACCUUACCUGGUCUUGACAUCCCGGGAACCCCGCAGAGAUGUGGGGGUGCCUUCGGGAACCCGGAGACAGGUGC